GAUGAACGCUGGCGGCGUGCUUAACACAUGCAAGUCGAACGGAAAGGCCACAGCUUGCUGUGGUACUCGAGUGGCGAACGGGUGAGUAACACGUGGGUGAUCUGCCCUGUACUUCGGGAUAAGCUUGGGAAACUGGGUCUAAUACCGGAUAGGAAUCACAUGUGGGUGUGUGGUUGGAAAGCUUUUGCGGUAUGGGAUGAGCUCGCGGCCUAUCAGCUUGUUGGUGGGGUAAUGGCCUACCAAGGCGUCGACGGGUAGCCGGCGUGAGAGGGUGUACGGCCACAUUGGGACUGAGAUACGGCCCAGACUCCUACGGGAGGCAGCAGUGGGGAAUAUUGCACAAUGGGCGCAAGCCUGAUGCAGCGACGCCGCGUGGGGGAUGACGGCCUUCGGGUUGUAAACUCCUUUCGUCAGGGACGAAGCGAAAGUGACGGUACCUGGAUAAGAAGCACCGGCUAACUACGUG
rnacentral:rRNA from 1 species